UGCAGGCUGCAACUCGCCUGCAUGAAGCUGGAAUCGCUAGUAAUCGCGAAUCAGAAUGUCGCGGUGAAUACGUUCCCGGGCCUUGUACACACCGCCCGUCACACCAUGAGAGUCGGGAACACCCGAAGUCCGUAGUCUAACCGCAAGGGGGGCGCGGCCGAAGGUGGGUCCGGUAAUUGGGGUGAAGUCGUAACAAGGUACC
rnacentral:rRNA from 1 species